AAGCAGGAUUCAAACUACAAUAGAGCUGUUAAGUGCUGUGUUGCCGUUCCCCCUGCUCAGAAUAAAGUUGUUUCUUAGCUAUACCUGUCUGCUCUACCCCUCUAGCAGCCAGGAAUGCUUAGUCUUAUACAU